rnacentral:misc_RNA from 1 species
GCCCUGAGACAGCUUCUAGAUGUCUCACUUUUAGAAACACAAUUUAUCCCUCGUGUGUAACAAUCCUCUGCUUUAGACAAAUCUCCACAUGUAUAUCCUUGGUUUCCCCUUAAUCGCCACAUUUCACAUGCUUCCUGAGCUGCAACAGAUGCAGCAGAAAUCAAAUCAAAUUCCUGCUUCACCUCCUGUCGUCCAAGCCCCUCAGAGUUUUCUCCAAUCAUGUGGAACGGAGUGGAUAUGCUUACUUUCUUGCCCAGAGUAGG